GAGCGAACGCUGGCGGCAGGCUUAACACAUGCAAGUCGAGCGGGCAUCUUCGGAUGUCAGCGGCAGACGGGUGAGUAACACGUGGGAACGUACCCUUCGGUUCGGAACAACUCUGGGAAACUGGAGCUAAUACCGGAUACGCCCUUAUGGGGAAAGGUUUACUGCCGAAGGAUCGGCCCGCGUCUGAUUAGCUAGUUGGUGGGGUAACGGCCUACCAAGGCGACGAUCAGUAGCUGGUCUGAGAGGAUGAUCAGCCACACUGGGACUGAGACACGGCCCAGACUCCUACGGGAGGCAGCAGUGGGGAAUAUUGGACAAUGGGCGCAAGCCUGAUCCAGCCAUGCCGCGUGAGUGAUGAAGGCCUUAGGGUUGUAAAGCUCUUUUGUCCGGGACGAUAAUGACGGUACCGGAAGAAUAAGCCCCGGCUAACUUCGU
rnacentral:rRNA from 1 species